GUGGGCAUAGUUCAGUGGUAGAGCACAUGCUUAGCAUGCACAAGGUCCUGGGUUCAAUCCCCAGUACCUACA
rnacentral:tRNA from 1 species